rnacentral:ncRNA from 1 species
GCUCCAAGAGCGUAUAUUAAUACUGCUGUAGUUAAACGCCCGUAGUAUACCUAAGAGUGGGUGUGUAGUAAUUAGUUUACCAGAGGACGGUUGGCGAGAGUUAUCACUCUUGUUUGCCUACUUUUGGUAGACUUUAGUCGGGCUGGAUCUUUGGUCCUCGUCUGACAGUUGCUACGUACUUACUUACCACGGUUCAUCCGUGAGGCCCUUGGCUUGCAACUGUAAAUAAAUCGUUGUGCUUAAAGCGGGCUAUGAUACUCUGCCAGAGCGAUUUAGCAUGGGACUGCAGAGUAGCUGUAUUUGAGCGAAGGUUGCACCUCGGUGUGGCUGGAGCUUGGUACAGCGCUUGUAAUGGAGCUCAGGGUGAGGCCCCGGGUACCAUGAGGCUAGAGGUGAAAUUCUGAGACCCUCAUGUGACCAACUAAGGCGAAAGCUGUCGUGGGCCACCACAAGCUCGUCUAUCAGGGACGAAAGUUGGGGGAUCGAAGACGAUUAGAUACCGUCGUAGUCCCAACUAUAAACGAUACCAACCGAGUAUUUGGGAAGACACUAUCCCAGCGAUCUUCUCAGAACUCAAGGGAAACCUUAAGUCUUUGGGUUCUGGGGGGAGUAUAGUCGCAAGACCGAAACUUAAAGGAAUUGACGGAAAGGCACCACCAGGAGUGGAGUCUGCGGCUUAAUUCGACUCAACACGGGGAAACUCACCAGGUCAGGACACAAGUUUGAUUGACAGGUUAAUAGCCCUUUCUUGAUUGUGUGGUGGGUAGUGCAUGGCCGUUUCCAGUUCGUGGAGUGAUCUGUCUUGUUAAUUCAGAUAACGAACGAGACCUAAGCCUUUAACUAGCCGUAGGCCUUUUCCUUCGGGGAAGGGUUAGUUUGUCGGAACAGGUUNNNNN